GGGUGGUCGAACACCCUGUAUAUCGAGGCUUCCGACGAUACAGAAAGAUUACUAGAGCAGAGAAAUCGAGGUUUCGAAUCGUGCGCCGAAGAACAUAUGUAAUUUAUGGACAAAAGCAUCCGCAACAGUGUUCGAUACGAGCAACCCUUUCGCAACCGCCGGUACAGACUCCCAUAAUGAGAUACGCGUCGUAAAUCGUCGACGGGAGGAUGCAUUCCUGCAUAAAUAUUAUGAAAAAGUGUAAAACCGUUGACAUUUAAGCGGAGUAUAAUCAUACGUGCUUCAAAUUACAAAUCCAUCUCCAGUCACGCACGUGGCGGAGAAGAUAAUUGAAUCAUUGGACGGGGGGUCCCCGUCUUUUCGCGUAACGUUCAAUAAUUAUCCCCCCAUUACGUCCUAGAAAUCUCACUGAAACCAACGGACACGCUCGCAAUGGUCACGUUUCAUCAAAAUAUUCCGGCAGUUCCUGUGCUCGUUGUCCGAGAAUAGAAUUCGACGCCAACGGUGACUAAUAGGAUUUCGUUUCUCGAAUGCAAAUAAAAACGGCGAAGAGAGGGAGAAAAGACAUUUGUUUUAUUACGUCGACCGUUAUAUUUGCGACGCUAUCUUUUCUCCGUUUCCAAGCACCGACGCGCUCGCAUCUUACAAAUGUCCGUUAGAAAAAGGAGCCUCGUCUCCCUUCCCUCCCCUCCCCCCCCACCGUUUUCUCUUGCACGUGCAAUUUACGAUCGUUAUAUCAUCGUUCAUUAAACACCGAUGCGCCUUCAGAGGCGCUGGUACGUCUCGCGAUGGUGUCAAGGAACUUCUUACGAUAAUUGCCUUAAUCGUGUGUGCGCAAUCCUUUUGCCUCGAAGCCUGCAACGGUUUCUCUGUUUAGAAAUGACUACGACCCGUUUAUCGUGUCCGCGGUAACAAUUUUAAACGCGUCGAACGCGUCGAUUCUAAUGCACUCGUAUUAGGUAUAAUAACGCGUUAUUACGCGUUACAGCGAAUUUAUUUGUAAACCGGUAUCGAAACGGUCCCGGCGGAAACUUUGUUGGUUCACGCGACACGCGAACAGGAUACGGACAGCGCGUCUUGGCCAGACUUUUACGAGGACAUUCACGCGCGAUAGCACGAAUAUCGAAUUCGAUGCACGGUAGAAAGUGGGAUUCGCGCGAGAGAUGGACGCGAUCUUAAAGGACUCGUUAAAGACUGGCCAUUAUACACACGUAUAACGAGCGACAAGAGAAUUAUCUCGCAGACCGUUUCGUUGCAUCCACCGCCGACUCGAGUAUCUAAUUUUGGCCAAUUGUACGUCAGCAAGCGGACGCAGGAGUGUUGUAUGAUUGGCAGUCGGAUGAUCGAACAUUCCAGGAGGGCAGCCAUGUAAUUAUUAGGAUUAAAGGCGAUUGUGGUUGUAGUCUCGAACAUCGUUAAAUUCCGCUAUUGCCGCUGCAACGGC